AAAUAAUAUUUAUGUAAUUAUGGCAUAGCUUUCUCCCCACCUCAUUAUGCUAAGAAAGUAAUGAUUAAAUAAACACAAAUGCUUGAUCAAGGGCCUGGCCUGGCCUGGCCCGGCCCGGCCCGAGGAUAGUGGCAGAACAUUUCAGCCCGACCUAGCCCGGGCUCGGGCAAAG